rnacentral:rRNA from 1 species
UACGUAGGGUGCGAGCGUUGUCCGGAAUUACUGGGCGUAAGGAGCUCGUAGGUGGUUUGUCGCGUUGUCCGUGAAAACUCACAACUCAAUUGUGGGCGUGCGGGCGAUACGGGCAGACUGGAGUACUGCAGGGGAGACUGGAAUUCCUGGUGUAGCGGUGGAAUGCGCAGAUAUCAGGAGGAACACCGGUGGCGAAGGCGGAUCUCUGGGCCUUACCUGACGCUGAGGCGCGAAAGCUAGGGGAGCGAACAGG